rnacentral:rRNA from 1 species
AACGUAGGUGGCGAGCGUUAUCCGGAUUUACUGGGCGUAAAGCGUGCGCAGGCGGUUGUGUAAGACAGAUGUGAAAUCCCCGGGCUCAACCUGGGAACUGCAUUUGUGACUGCACAGCUGGAGUGCGGCAGAGGGGGAUGGAAUUCCGCGUGUAGCAGUGAAAUGCGUAGAUAUGUGGAGGAACACCAAUGGCGAAGGCAGCCCCCUGGGUCAACACUGACGCUCAUGCACGAAAGCGUGGGGAGCAACAGG